rnacentral:sRNA from 1 species
GAAGUUGACAAACCAACUGAAGUACUCGAGCCCAUACUCGACCUUGAUACUCAACCAACAAAUCCAUUAACAUCAUCCGCUGCUGUAAAACUAGUUGCUGGUAAAAACAAUGAGACAACAUUCAUUCCUUCUCCUUACAAGCCCCCACUUCCAUUUCCUGGUCGACACAAGAAAGAGUUAAAAGAUAAGUACAAAGCUAUGUUUGCCAAGAACAUCAAGGAAGUCGAAUUAAGGAUACAUAUUGCUGAUGCUCUCACGCGUAUUCCGGAUUCCCAAAAGUUCCUCAAAUACUUGAUCAUGGAGAGAAUUCAAGAGGUUCAGAAAACAACAGUUCUGAGCCAUGAGUGCAGUGCCAUCAUACAGAAGAACCAUGUCUCAGAAAAGCUAGGAGACCCUGGUUCAUCCACUCUUCCUUGCUCCCUAGGUUCAUUGACUUUCAAUAAAUGCCUUUGUGACCUAGGAGCAUUAGUAAAUCUCAUGCCACUCUCAGUAGCUAAGAGGUUGGGUUUCAACAACUAUAAAUACUGCAAUAUCUCCUUGAUCUUGGUUGAUAGGUGUGUUAGACUACCUCAUGGGUUAUUAGAAGAUUUGCCUAUCAAGAUUGGAAAUGUAGAGGUGCCUAGAGACUUCGUAGUGCUAAACAUGGAUGAAGAACCAAAAGAUCCCUUGAUCUUAGGAAAGCUCUUUUUGGCUACAGCUGGAGCAAUCAUAGAUGUUAAGCAAGGAAAGAUUGAUCUUAAUCUGGGGAAUAAUUUUGAAAUGAAGUUUGAUAUCAAUAAUGCUAUGAAGAAGCCGACAAUAGAAGAACAGACCUUCUUAGUUAAGGAAGUGGAUCAGCUAGCUUGUGAACUGCUAGUGGAACUUGAAGAAGCAAACAAUUCAAAAACUGUUUUGACCAAGAGUGGUAAAGCUGGGUAUCUCCCUAGUGAAACUUUGAGUUCUGAGAAGUCAUUAGACUCACACAAGGCAGCAGUUGGCUCAGAGGUUUACAAAGGCUUGAUGGGGUCUGAUACAAAGGUUCUGAAAGCUAAUGAAUUAAGUUCAACACAUGCUCGACCAACUAAUUCCACCAACAACUCGAAGAGCGGUGCUGGCCGCUACAUAGCUGAUGAGGUCGAGUACCCACAUGCUGGAGCUGACACAGAACAGGGCGGCUCGUCUAUGGCCUGGAAGCAAUCACAGGCAGCCAUUGAUGACCAACUCCGUUAAUUCUUCGACUGAGGUAAGCGCCUCACUUCACCAUUGUAUUAUAUCAUCUCUUGUGAUUUGUUCUUUAUUUUGUUUCUGUGAUUGGAUUUGUCCUGAGUACUCUCUUCCAAGUUUGGUCACACAGUGGACUGUGUGAUUUAAGUUUGGGAGAGGGCUCAGGAAGUGUGUGUUGCAUUGUAUAUACUCUUGAGUCUGCAUUCAUCUUAGGCAUAGAAAAACCAAAAAAAUUGAAAAAUUUCAGAAAAUGAUUUCACAAAAACAAAGUGUUCAUGUAGUUGCAUUACAUUUU